UAUCAGUUUAAUAUCCAAUACGUCCCCCAUCGGGGGACUACAUAUUAAAUGGAUUUUUUCGAACAGGGAGUCGGAAAUGGGGCUUGCUCCGUCCGCUCCACGCAGAGAUCGACCCGUAUUGCAGUACCUCCGGGAACGGUGCAACACUU
rnacentral:snRNA from 1 species